rnacentral:rRNA from 12 species
CAGAGACCGAUAGCGCACAAGUAGAGUGAUCGAAAGAUGAAAAGCACUUUGGAAAGAGAGUUAAACAGUACGUGAAAUUGUUGAAAGGGAAACGAUUGAAGUCAGUCAUGCUCUUUGGUAUUUAUAUCAUUGAGUGGGGUCAACAUCAGUUUUGAU